rnacentral:snoRNA from 1 species
AUACCUAUGAUUAUAAUUUAUUCCAAUACCAAUUGUUCCGACUGAAUAGUUGGAUUUUACUAUAUGUCGACAACCUCAUUUCGUUAAGUUUCAGCCUUGUAUGACGGUAA